rnacentral:rRNA from 1 species
GAUGAACGCUGGCGGCGUGCCUAAUACAUGCAAGUCGAGCGAACAGACGAGGAGCUUGCUCCUCUGACGUUAGCGGCGGACGGGUGAGUAACACGUAGGUAGCCUACCUAUAAGACUGGGAUAACUUCGGGAAACCGGAGCUAAUACCGGAUAAUAUUUCGAACCGCAUGGUUCGAUAGUGAAAGAUGGCUUUGCUAUCACUUAUAGAUGGACCUGCGCCGUAUUAGCUAGUUGGUAAGGUAACGGCUUACCAAGGCAACGAUACGUAGCCGACCUGAGAGGGUGAUCGGCCACACUGGAACUGAGACACGGUCCAGACUCCUACGGGAGGCAGCAGUAGGGAAUCUUCCGCAAUGGGCGAAAGCCUGACGGAGCAACGCCGCGUGAGUGAUGAAGGUCUUCGGAUCGUAAAACUCUGUUAUUAGGGAAGAACAAACGUGUAAGUAACUGUGCACGUCUUGACGGUACCUAAUCAGAAAGCCACGGCUAACUACGU